rnacentral:lncRNA from 1 species
UAUAAUAUGAACAACACGUCUACAGGGAUAUAUGUGGUGGCAGCGUUACUCUACAAACACUAACAGCAACAGUAGUUGUCCUUCUGAAACUAUUAUUUAUAACGUGGUAAGUAGUAGCAUUAUUAUUAUACAAUAUCUCAGUGGUAGUAGGCAGUCUAGCUAUCCAACAUGAUGACUCUCCAUUUUUGUCGUCUCGCAAAAUGUUCAAAGUAGAGGACGGAGGCUCCCACAUCAACGUAGUACUAUUAGUAUUACAUAUAUUUAUUCUGGCGUAUGCCAUCUUACAUUGUUCCCUGUAAACGUAACUCAGCGGCGGAUCAUGC